AGCCCGGUACCGGGGAGCCCGACGGGGUCGUCGAUCUCGGCCGCGGCCGCGAUCCGGCGCCAGCGAUCGGCGAUCGUGGCGUCGCCGGGCUG
rnacentral:tRNA from 1 species